AAAUUGAAGAGUUUGAUCAUGGCUCAGAUUGAACGCUGGCGGCAGGCCUAACACAUGCAAGUCGAACGGUAACAGGAAGCAGCUUGCUGCUUUGCUGACGAGUGGCGGACGGGUGAGUAAUGUCUGGGAAACUGCCUGAUGGAGGGGGAUAACUACUGGAAACGGUGGCUAAUACCGCAUAACGUCGCAAGACCAAAGAGGGGGACCUUCGGGCCUCUUGCCAUCAGAUGUGCCCAGAUGGGAUUAGCUUGUUGGUGAGGUAACGGCUCACCAAGGCGACGAUCCCUAGCUGGUCUGAGAGGAUGACCAGCCACACUGGAACUGAGACACGGUCCAGACUCCUACGGGAGGCAGCAGUGGGGAAUAUUGCACAAUGGGCGCAAGCCUGAUGCAGCCAUGCCGCGUGUAUGAAGAAGGCCUUCGGGUUGUAAAGUACUUUCAGCGGGGAGGAAGGUGUUGUGGUUAAUAACCGCAGCAAUUGACGUUACCCGCAGAAGAAGCACCGGCUAACUCCGUGCCAGCAGCCGCGGUAAUACGGAGGGUGCAAGCGUUAAUCGGAAUUACUGGGCGUAAAGCGCACGCAGGCGGUCUGUCAAGUCGGAUGUGAAAUCCCCGGGCUCAACCUGGGAACUGCAUUCGAAACUGGCAGGCUUGAGUCUUGUAGAGGGGGGUAGAAUUCCAGGUGUAGCGGUGAAAUGCGUAGAGAUCUGGAGGAAUACCGGUGGCGAAGGCGGCCCCCUGGACAAAGACUGACGCUCAGGUGCGAAAGCGUGGGGAGCAAACAGGAUUAGAUACCCUGGUAGUCCACGCCGUAAACGAUGUCUACUUGGAGGUUGUGCCCUUGAGGCGUGGCUUCCGGAGCUAACGCGUUAAGUAGACCGCCUGGGGAGUACGGCCGCAAGGUUAAAACUCAAAUGAAUUGACGGGGGCCCGCACAAGCGGUGGAGCAUGUGGUUUAAUUCGAUGCAACGCGAAGAACCUUACCUGGUCUUGACAUCCACAGAACUUUCCAGAGAUGGAUUGGUGCCUUCGGGAACUGUGAGACAGGUGCUGCAUGGCUGUCGUCAGCUCGUGUUGUGAAAUGUUGGGUUAAGUCCCGCAACGAGCGCAACCCUUAUCCUUUGUUGCCAGCGGUCCGGCCGGGAACUCAAAGGAGACUGCCAGUGAUAAACUGGAGGAAGGUGGGGAUGACGUCAAGUCAUCAUGGCCCUUACGACCAGGGCUACACACGUGCUACAAUGGCGCAUACAAAGAGAAGCGACCUCGCGAGAGCAAGCGGACCUCAUAAAGUGCGUCGUAGUCCGGAUUGAGUCUGCAACUCGACUCCAUGAAGUCGGAAUCGCUAGUAAUCGUGGAUCAGAAUGCCACGGUGAAUACGUUCCCGGGCCUUGUACACACCGCCCGUCACACCAUGGGAGUGGGUUGCAAAAGAAGUAGGUAGCUUAACCUUCGGGGGGGCGCUUACCACUUUGUGAUUCAUGACUGGGGUGAAGUCGUAACAAGGUAACCGUAGGGGAACCUGCGGUUGGAUCACCUCCUUA
rnacentral:rRNA from 1 species